AAUUAUUGUUUCCUAACAGGUUUGUCUAAAACUCAUACCGCCCCGUCUUCGUCUUUAAUUGAUUAAGCAAACAGAUUGUCCCACCCCAAACUCACGCCAUUGGUUCAGCCAGAAUUUGAUAGGUUUCCCCGCAUUUUAUCCGGUCUGUAAUUUUUUUCGAUGUAUUUUUAUUUAGUGUAUUUUAUGUGUCAUUUUUUCCAGUGUAUUUUGUCAUCCAGAAAAUUACACACAUCGCCUUUCAUGAUUUAGAAAUGACGUUAUAAAAUUGAAAUAUGGGUGACGGUAGAGUAGGCAGUAUGCGUGUUCUGCGUACAGUAAGGGCGCCACUCAUUCUAACGGCUCUGGUCAGAAAGGGGGCCUAGGGGACCUCCAUACUUUCCCCGUUUGGUAUUUAAAUGGUCUCUCCGUAUAAGUAAGCUAUUAAGGAGCACGCUAUAGUGACUGCCCUCGGACUGCAGAGUGUAUGUGUGUGUGUGUGUGUGGUUUAUUCCGAAACGCAGCACUUCACGGUUGUGACUCGAUACGCGCACGGAGAUGGCAAGAGAUGGCGCAGCCAAAAUCGGGAUAUCAAAAGAGGAAACAAAAAUGGGAAAAAGAGGAGAGAGCAAGACGGAGAAGACUGCUAGUCACCCAGUUUUUCAACAGAAAAGCUCCAGAAGUUUUCCAAAAGUGUAUUGCCCAAAGACUGGAAGGCUUGGAAGGAGUUGUGAACAUAGUAGAUGACAUCUUGGUCUGAGGUGAAAACGUGGAACAACAUGAUAAGAGACUGAGAUUCCUGUUAGCCCAAGUCAGAAGAUCAAUCUGAAAUUGAACAAAGAAAAAUGCAAAAUCAGACUGACAGAAAUUCGCUAUGUUGGAAAAGAAAAGGUACUAGUGAUAUUGAAUAUCCCUGCGCCAGAAGACAAAGUGGCACUGAUGAGAUUUCUUGGCUUGGUUCAGUAUUUGGCAAAGUUUGUCCCAAACCUCUUUGAUGCUAGUGCGCCUCUAAGGAAGCUUUUGGAAAGUGAAGUUGCAUGGCACUGGGAGUCAAAACAACAGCAGAGCUUUGAAAAACUGAAGCAACUUUUGUCUCCACAGACUCUGCUGCAUCAGGGUAUAACUGCUGCCUGUAUGCGGGAUCGCUUUUACUUCCUUCCCACCAACCAUCAGCGGUACCUUGAGUAGGGAGGGUGUAAUGAGACUGGAGUCAUAUGGCUGUGUGAAGGACACCCCGGCAAUAUCUCUGGGACCUCAACUUCCAGGUGGUUUCUUGCUACUCUUUUCUUUGGAGUUCUGCAUACCAACCUUUUACCAAAAGUCCUUUGCUCCAAUACAGCUCUUUUCUACCCUGGAGCCCAUCUUGACCAGCUAUUCCACUGUCAUCACUGGCCCUCUUAGGCAGCCAGUUACUAAGGAUGCAGCCUACCAAUUCCUCUUCCAUGAUAUCUGCCUUCCAUUUCAAGCAGAGGAAGUUCUCACACUGUUCCAGAAAGCUGAGGACAUCAGAGGUUUCAGUGGAGUCGCUGAAGGAGGGGAAGUCUAGGCAUAUGGCAGGUCUCCCACAGAAUGAGGAAGCACCAGACAAGACAUGAGAGGCAUUCCUCCUGAAGAAACAAUCUAAAACCUCCCUCUCGAGUUUUUACAAGGAUUGCUGGAAAGAAUCCUUCAGCAUCUACAAGCUAGCCCCAUUGCAUCCCUUAAAGCGGCCUCCCUAUUAAGAGUGCUGUCAACUGAAUGUCUCUGACCCACCUCCAGAGUUUCAACGUGUGUUUUUAAGGCAAAUAAAUCACCUUUUACAUGUUUAAACUCUGUCUGAAGUGUUUCCAUUGUACAUACAUCAGUAAUAGGACAUUCACAUCAGAUUCUUCAUCAUCAUCAGAGAUAUACAGUGAACUAAGCACUGAUGUCAUUUCAGCGGUGGGACUGCGCCUAGUUACACACGGGCCUACCGUAAAAUCCACUGCAGGAUCCAAGGUAUUACCCUUGGCACUCCUGUCAACAGUGUUACUGUUUACAUUGUGCUUAGUUGUGAACUCCAUUUUUUUCUUUAUAACAACACACACUAAAAAAUUCCCUACCCAGGCCACCACUCUGUAACAACUUGCCCCUGAGAGGCACUGGUUACAAUUAGUCCGGACUCUAGCAGUGUGCGGUUGAAGAGCAAUUACAAACAAACACCAAAUAAUUUCAUUAGUUUGUAUUGUAUUAUGCAAAAGAUAGCAACCAAGUAUUUACAAUAAUCCCAUGCACCCACAGUCUUUCUCGCUGUGUAAAAGUCCUGUUGUAAAAGUAUAUACAAAUGAUUACUGUCUCAAAGGAUCAUCCUCACCAGUGUCUCUGUCAUGGUGAACGAUCCUCUGAACCCCCUGGGCCAAAUAAUCCCACUGGCGAAUGCCUCCAUCAUCCAAAAAAGGAAAAAAGGAAAAAUAGUCCCACCAGUGUUCCUCAGCAGUGAUCAUGGGUAAGCGUGAUGGUAAUUUUGUUGUAAACAGCUGAGCAUGCUUUCCUCCAUUGUCUCUUUUCUGGCUUAUAUUCACUUCUGCAAACAACCACGUCGGCACGUGAUGACGUGGCAUGAAACGGUGACCUCGUUGGGAUUCGUGAGCAAAAGACCACACAAUUAAUUACACACAUAGGUAUAAAAUGCAACAUUAUGCAGCAGUUUUAAAUAGUAAUUGUACUGUCUUGCACUGUUGCACACGUUUGCACAUGUGCACUUUAUGUAGUCCUGUGUACAGUGGGGCAAAAAAGUAUUUAGUCAGCCACCAAUUGUGCAAGUUCUCCCACUUAAAAAGAUGAGAGAGGCCUGUAAUUUUCAUCAUAGGUACACUUCAGCUAUGAGAGACAGAAUGGGGGAAAGAAUCCAGGAAAUCACAUUGUAGAAUUUUUAAAGAAUUUAUUUACAAAUUAUGGUGGAAAAUAAGUAUUUGAUCAAUAACAAAAGUUCAUCUCAAUACUUUGUUAUAUACCCUUUGUUGGCAAUGACAGAGGUCAAACGUUUUCUGUAAGUCUUCACAAGGUUUUCACACACUGUUGCUGGUAUUUUGGCCCAUUCCUCCAUGCAGAUCUCCACUAGAGCAGUGAUGUUUUGGGGCUGUCGCUGGGCAACGCGGACUUUCAGCUCCCUCCAAAGAUUUUCUAUUGGGUUGAGAUCUGGAGACUGGCUAGGCCACUCCAGGACCUUGAAAUGCUUCUUACAAAGCCACUCCUUCGUUGCCCGGGUGGUGUGUUUGGAAUAAUUGUCAUGCUGAAAGAUCCAACCACGUCUCAUCUUCAAUGCCCUUGCUGAUGGAAGGAGGUUUUCACUCAAAAUCUCACGAUACAUGGCCCCAUUCAUUCUUUCCUUUACACGGAUCAGUCGUCCUGGCCCCUUUGCAGAAAAACAGCCCCAAAGCAUGAUGUUUCCACCCCCAUGCUUCACAGUAUGUAUGGUGUUCUUUGGAUGCAACUCAGCAUUCUUUCUCCUCCAAACACGACAAGUUGAGUUUUUAUGAAAAAGUUCUAUUUUGGUUUCAUCUGACCAUAUGACAUUCUCCCAAUCCUCUUCUGGAUCAUCCAAAUGCUCUCUAGCAAACUUCAGACGGGCCUGGAUAUGUACUGGCUUAAGCAGGGGGACACGUCUGGCACUGCAGGAUUUGAGUCCCUGGCGGUGUAGUAUGUUACUGAUGGUAGCCUUUGUUACUUUGGUCCCAGCUCUCUGCAGGUCAUUCACUAGGUCCUCCCGUGUGGUUCUGGGAUUUUUGCUCACCGUUCUUGUGAUCAUUUUGACCCCACGGGGUGAGAUCUUGCGUGGAGCCCCAGAUCGAGGGAGAUUAUCAGUGGUCUUCCAUUUUCUAAUAAUUGCUCCCACAGUUGAUUUCUUCACACCAAGCUGCUUACCUAUUGCAGAUUCAGUCUUCCCAGCCUGGUGCAGGUCUACAAUUUUGUUUCUGGUGUCCUUUGACAGCUUUUUGGUCUUGGCCAUAGUGGAGUUUGGAGUGUGACUGUUUGAGGUUGUGGACAGGUGUCUUUUAUACUGAUAAUGAGUUCAAACAGGUGCCAUUAAAACAGGUAACGAGUGGAGGACAGAGGAGCCUCUUAAAGAAGAAGUUACAGGUCUGUGAGAGCCAGAAAUCUUGCUUGUUUGUAGGUGAACAAAUACUUAUUUUACUAAGGAAUUUACCAAUUAAUUCAUUAAAAAUCCUACAAUGUGAUUUCCUGGAUUCUUUCCCCCCAUUCUGUCUCUCAUAGUUGAAGUGUACCUAUGAUGAAAAUUACAGGCCUCUCUCAUCUUUUUAAGUGGGAGAACUUGCACAAUUGGUGGCUGACUAAAUACUUUUUUGCCCCACUGUAUGUCUUUGUAGUCUUAUUUAGUCCUGUGUAGUCGGUACUGGGGUGUAACAAUAUUGUGUUAUUAUACAACAGUUCCAGUCCACUAAUUGGUUUGCACAAGAGGCAUUGCAAGAGUAUUGAGUACAACAGCACUGGUACAUGUUACUGUUUGUAUCACUCUGCUUGUCUGUUUUUGCUACAUAAAAUUUUUCUGUGGGCUGUCAGUCUGUGUGUUGCAUGACAACACCCAACGCUCUAUCCAGCUGUGGCUCCUUUGAGGACUAUUUUUGUUGACUGAUCAAAAAUAAACAAAAUAUUUGUCCA